CCCGGCACAACGGCUUCCUGGCGUGGCGGGCUGUAUUUCAGUGGAGCA
rnacentral:ncRNA from 1 species